GAAAUGGCAACCCACUCCAGUAUUCUUGCCUGGAAAAUCCCAUGGACAGAGGAACCUGGCGGGCUACAGUCCAUGGGGUCACAAAGAGAUGGACAUGACUGAAGCAACUUUGCAACUGUGAGACCUCUGAUAAAUGACCUGAGGGAUGAUGAAUGGAGCUGGGAGACUCCUCACUAUGGGCUCAGCAAGAUGCAUCACAGUCCAGACUGCGCCUCUCUUUGGGACUUCUGAAUGGGCCCAGGAAGAACAGGAAUGCUGGAAUAAAUUACACGGUACACAUUGAUCAGAGAAUUUCUCAAAUAUCUACCACAUACUCAGAACUGGGCCUUUAGGCACAUGGUUCAAGUUUCACGUUCUUCCUGGAGAUGAUGUGUGGGGUAAGAAAAGGAUUGAGGAACAGGACUGGCCAGUGAAGCCUGUUUCCUGACCUCCAGCAAGAAGUCCGCCCUGGAGCCUCUCAGGAUGAGAUCAAAGCUUUGUCUCAGCAGCCAGACCAGAGGACAUCCACGCUGGGUUCAGGGCAUUCUGGUCCUCACUGUGAUGGGUCACAUUAAAGAGCCAACCCCACAGCUUUUAGUGAAACCUGAUGAAUUUGACAUGUAUGAUUAGCUAAUGUGGGGAAUUAUUAUUGUCCAGUUGAUGUGGUAAUUUGUCUACCAAACUUCAAAAUUAUAAACAAUGGUUUUCUGGGGAAAGCCUCCUGAAGCGUGAAUGGUAAAUGUUUACUGUAAAGAAACAAACACAAAAACCCCCCAAAAAACCUGGAUCUGGAAAGAGUGCCCUGGUGAAUAAAAUGAAAACCAUGUGCAGACAGUCACAUUGCUAAACUGACUAAUUGUUUCAAAAAACACUUCCAGCUCUAGCCUUGACAUUGGGCAAAUUGGAAACACUGUACCA